CAGUAGCUCAGUGGUAGAGCUAUCGGCUGUUAACCGAUCGGUCGUAGGUUCGAGUCCUACCUGUGGAGCCAUGGC
rnacentral:tRNA from 1 species